AUUGAACGCUGGCGGCAUGCCUAACACAUGCAAGUCGAACGAGUGGCGGACGGGUGAGUAAUGUCUGGGAAACUGCCCUAUGGCGGGGGAUAACUCCUGGAAACGGUAGCUAAUACCGCAUACCAUCGGAUGUGCCCAGAUGGGAUUAGCUAGUAGGUGGUUUAACGGCUCACCUAGGCGACGAUCCCUAGCUGGUCUGAGAGGAUGACCAGCCACACUGGAACUGAGACACGGUCCAGACUCCGACGGGAGGCAGCAGUAGGGAAUAUUGCACAAGGGGAGCAAGCCUGACGCAGCCAUGCCGCGUGAAUGAAGAAGGCCUUCGGGUUGUAAAGUACUGUCAGCGAGGAGGCGUUACUCGCAGAAGAAGCACCGGCUAACUCCGUGCCAGCAGCCGCGGUAAUUC
rnacentral:rRNA from 1 species